rnacentral:rRNA from 1 species
UACAGAGACGUCGAGCGUUGUUCGGAUUCAUUGGGCGUAAAGGGUGCGUAGGCGGUGAGGUAAGUCGGAUGUGAAAUCCCAGAGCUUAACUCUGGAAGUGCAUCCGAAACUGCCUUGCUCGAGGACUGGAGGGGAGACUGGAAUUCUCGGUGUAGCGGUGAAAUGCGUAGAUAUCGAGAGGAACACCUGUGGCGAAGGCGGGUCUCUGGACAGUUCCUGACGCUGAGGCACGAAAGCUAGGGUAGCAAACGGG